rnacentral:rRNA from 1 species
UACGUAGGGGGGCAAGCGUUGUCCGGAUUUAUUGGGCGUAAAGCGCGUGUAGGUGGCCAAGUAGGUCCGCUGUGAAAACUUGAGGCUCAACCUCGAGACGUCGGCGGAAACCAUCUGGCUAGAGUCCGGAAGAGGAGAGUGGAAUUCCUGGUGUAGCGGUGAAAUGCGCAGAUAUCAGGAAGAACACCCGUGGCGAAGGCGGCUCUCUGGGACGGUACUGACGCUGAGACGCGAAAGCGUGGGGAGCGAACAGG